rnacentral:lncRNA from 1 species
GUGCAAUUGAGAAAUGUUAAAUUGGGCAAAAAGGGCCCGUGGAUGUUGAUUUGGGAGGAAAAGGCCCGUGAAUGUUGAUUUGGGGGCAAAAAGGGCCCGUGGGUGUGGAAUUGGGCGAAAUGACCGAUAGAAUGUGGAGAAAUGGUUGAACGGUAACAAAGGCCCAAUAUUUUCGGGAGAAAGCUCCAUGUGUGGGUUGCAAGAACGAACUAUGAAUGUGAUGAGUAUGUGUGGGAAGGUAUAUUUGCUA